rnacentral:tRNA from 1 species
CGGAGCGUAGCGCAGUCCGGUAGCGCACUCGCCUGGGGGGCGAGGGGUCGCGAGUUCGAAUCUCGCCGUUCCGACCA